rnacentral:rRNA from 1 species
AGUGACGUACGGGUGCGUAACACGUAUGCAACCUACCCAAAACUGGAGGAUAGCUCGGGGAAACUCGAAUUAACCCUCCAUGAGAUCAUAGAGUAGCAUUACUUAGUGAUUAAAACUCCGGUGGUUUUGGAUGGGCAUGCGUCUGAUUAGUUAGUUGGUGAGGUAACGGCUCACCAAGGCGAUGAUCAGUAGGGGAACUGAGAGGUUGAUCCCCCACACUGGCACUGAGAUACGGGCCAGACUCCUACGGGAGGCAGCAGUAGGGAAUAUUGGUCAAUGGAUGCAAGUCUGAACCAGCCAUGCCGCGUGCAGGAAGAAGGCCUUCUGGGUUGUAAACUGCUUUUGCCAGGGGGUAAAAAGCCCAUGCGUGGGAAAUUGAAAGUACCUGGUGAAUAAGCCACGGCUAACUACGUGCCAGCAGCCGCGGUAAUACGUAGGUGGCAAGCGUUGUCCGGAUUUAUUGGGUUUAAAGGGUGCGUAGGCGGCCUAGUAAGUCAGUGCUGAAAUACCCCGGCUUAACCGGGGGGGUGGCAUUGAUACUGCAGGGCUUGAGUACAGAUGAGGUAGGCGGAAUUGACGGUGUAGCGGUGAAAUGCAUAGAUAUCGUCAAGAACACCUAUAGCGAAGGCAGCUUACUAAGCUGUAACUGACGCUGAGGCACGAAAGUGUGGGGAUCAAACAGGAUUAGAUACCCUGAUAGUCCACACUGU